rnacentral:rRNA from 1 species
AUUGAACGCUAGCGGGAUGCCUUACACAUGCAAGUCGAACGGAGUGGCGAAAGGGUGAGUAAUGUAUCGGAACGUGCCCAGUAGCUGGGGCUAACUACGCGAAAGCGUAGCUAAUACCGCAUACUAUUUGAGCGGCCGAUAUCGGAUUAGCGAGUUGGUGGGGUAACGGCUCACCAAGGCGACGAUCCGUAGCUGGUUUGAGAGGACGACCAGCCACACUGGGACUGAGAAACGGCCCAGACUCCUACGGGAGGAAGCAGUGGGGAAUGUGGGACAAUGGGGGAAACCCUGAUGCAGCCAUCCCGCGUGUGAGAUGAAGGCCUUCGGGGUGUAAAGCACUGUUGGCAGGAAAGCGGUACCUGCAGAAUAAGCACCGGCUAACUACGUGCCAGCAGCCGCGGUAAUAC